CCUACGGGUGGCAGCAGUGAGGAAUAUUGGUCAAUGGCCGGAAGGCUGAACCAGCCAUGCCGCGUGAAGGUCAGUGCCCUAUGGGCGUUAAACUUCUUUUGUGCGGGAGCAAUAAUGGUCACGUGUGGCCAGACGAGAGUACCGUACGAAUAAGCAUCGGCUAACUCCGUGCCAGCAGCCGCGGUAAUACGGGGGAUGUAAGCGUUAUCCGGAUUUAUUGGGUUUAAAGGGUGCGUAGGCUGUGAGGUAAGUCAGCGGUGAAAUGCCCCCGCUCAACGGGGUGAAGUGCCAUUGAUACUGCCUGGCUGGAAUGCGGAUGCCGUGGGAGGAAUGUGUGGUGUAGCGGUGAAAUGCAUAGAUAUCACACAGAACACCGAUUGCGAAGGCAUCUCACGAAGCCGCGAUUGACGCUGAUGCACGAAAGCGUGGGUAUCAAACAGGAUUAGAUACCCGAGUAGUC
rnacentral:rRNA from 1 species